rnacentral:lncRNA from 1 species
CGGGGGCAUUCCAAAGACCCGGUACCUUUUAAUGCGAGAGCAUUACUUGGCUCAUUGUGCGACCCCGCCAUCAUCAGAAAGCCGUGGCAGAAAAACAGCAAACAAAUUGUGUCAUAUUCAUCUAACU